rnacentral:tRNA from 1 species
GAGGCCUUAGCUUAAGUAAAGUGUCUGGGUUGCAGUCAGGCGAUGUAAGUUGUAGUCUUGCAGGUCUU